rnacentral:snoRNA from 1 species
UCGCCUUGUGCCUCGCUCGGUCUGACUCUCUAUGUCAGAUCUUGAGCUGGAUACUUUAUUCUACGAAUAUUCGUAAUGGGCCAUAUCGAUAAGAUUUCCUUUGAGUGCGAUGACACCAAGGUCAGAACCGGAUGGUGGCAUUGUAAUUAUAAAUCUUCACAUUC